GCGAGUUCUUAGACGCCUGCAGAGCUCCGAGCGGACGAGGCGAAGUUACGGCAGCGGAGCGACAUGAACGGGCUGAUAGAACCACGACUACCGGCUCCACUACUCUGUUUCUGCGGGUGGUGGUUGCAUCUGAUGGAGGUUAAGGAAGGAAGAUCAGAUGGACAAACAUAUCGCAUCAGGCAGGAGGGAGGAGGGGGAACGGCGAAAUUAUCGGCUGCCCCGGAAUCACUUUGCAGCCGUCACGCUCUGCUGAUGGGGAGAAACGGGGAUCGGGCUGAUUCUUUGAGCUGCAGAACCUGAUGCACGGACUGUUGCAUCAUAUGAACACACUUUCAAAAACACCACACUGCUAAAAUGUAAUUCGACGCAAUCUGAAAUUGAUUUCUAACCAGUAAAUCUUCAGCGUUAUACAACUCUUUGUCUGCAAGUUUUUCAUCGUUUUAUUUUAGCCCUGAGUGCUUCUACCCUACCUCCC
ensembl:lncRNA